CACCAUUUCUUCUUUUUUAGAAACUCAACCUGCAGUUCCAGAGACCACCCCAAAGGAAGAAAACUAUACCACUCUCUCUCAAGAACCUACUACUGGUUUUCUUCCAGAUGAAAGGACUACUAGACAACAAACCACCAGUAAGUGUGCAUCCCAAUGUUUAAUUGUUUAAUGUUUUAUUGAUGUCCUGACAAGUGUAAGUAAAAUAAAACUCAGGUAAAAAUAAAUUGUUAGAAAGAAUAACAAAUAUGUGACAACAUAGAACAUGAAAAUCUCUUUCUCCCUGAGUAAUUACUUCUCAAGGCCUUGCCAAAACAAAAAGGUUUCACCUACCUAUGAAAGGAUAGCAGAAAGAACAAUGCUUUAACCUGUUUAGAAAGAGAGAUGCUUGGGAGCAGCCAUGGAGAAGGCCAUCUCCUGUGUUCCCACCAGACAUACCUGUAAUUAUAGUGGACCAGAGAAAAUGGCACUUUCUCUGUAUAGUCACAUUCAUAUAAGGAUAUAUGAUCCUGGCAGGUUGUGGGACUGAUUCAACAAGGAACUUGUAUGGUCCUUGCAGUCAUUUUGUCAGCUGCUUUUUGGAUUAACUGAAGUUUCAGUAGAGCACAUAAAAGUAAUCAAAAAAUAAUUAUUAGCCAUUUUAAUAGAAAUUGUAAAAAAAAAAGUACUAGCUCUCAGGCUGGUGGUCAUAUUUAUGGGAGUUUAUGUCCCUUCAAAAUUUGAAAAGUUGCAUGGAUUCUUUUUUUUAAAGAUUGCCUUGGAUCUCUUUACUAGUCUGUUUAAUCAAGGAAAAAAUACAAAUUGAUGAUUAUAUCCCAAAAUUAUAUUUAUAACGACUAUUCCAAAUACAGCAGACUCCCAGGGCACAUCCAGACAGCACCUAAAGUGCACGCCCUCCCGUGUUUUCCCCUGGGGCAUCCAGUCAACAUCUUAGGGAAAAAUUAAUGCGUUCAGUACAAACCCUGCUUGGUGCUGAGGUAAUUUGUCUGCUGGAAAGACCCGGGUUUUUCGGAAGACUCGUGUCUUUCCAGGUGUGGGGACUUUGUAGGUGGGACUGGGGAUAGCGCCAUGUGACUUCUGGUGCCCACCUACACAUCUGUUUUGGGUUUCUUGGCCUUAUGGAGCCCAAGCAUCCCGAGACAGCCCCCACUCCCU